UCUGUUCUAUUGAAUUUGUUUUGGAUUUGUUUAGUUGUUUGGUUUUGGUGGUUUUUUUGGGGUUUUUUUUGGAGGGGGUUACUGUAAGAUGAACAAUACUUAUUUUAUAUCAUUCUCCCUGAGAAAAAUCUCUGCUGUCUUACCAGUUUCCCAAAUUUCUACAGCUUUCAGUCUCAUGGUGAAAGAUGGGACUUGGAAGGGAAGAACUUCCUCUAUAGCCAGGUUGGCCUCUCAAGCCUGCAGUCCCUUCCUCCCCAGCACCAAAGAAGGAUUGGUGCUCCAUAAUGCAUGCUCUUCCUUCCCUGGGGAACCUCAACAAGCACUACUCUGGUUGUUUACAUUCCUGGCUUUCGCCUAGUUUUCCAGGUUAUCAAGAUUUCUGUCAGGGCCCUCUUCUGAUCCCCUCUAAACAGGUUUUAAGAUGCCAGCUUUAAUGGAGUUACUUCUGAUUUAGUUCACUUUGGCAAGGAAUCACUCCAUGACCCUCCACAGGAUUUGUUGCGUAUCAA
rnacentral:lncRNA from 1 species